UACAGAGGGUGCGAGCGUUGUCCGGAAUUACUGGGCGUAAAGGGCGCGUAGGCGGCUUGGUAAGUCGGGGGUGAAAGUCAGCGGCUCAACCGCUGGACUGCCUUCGAGACUGCCUGGCUUGAGCAUGGUAGAGGCUGGCGGAAUUCCCGGUGUAGCGGUGGAAUGCGUAGAGAUCGGGAAGAACAUCGGUGGCGAAGGCGGCCAGCUGGGCUGUUGCUGACGCUGAGGCGCGACAGCGUGGGGAGCAAACAGG
rnacentral:rRNA from 1 species